rfam:Streptococcus lutetiensis 033, complete genome.
GCACCCUUGGCUCAACUGGAUAGAGUACCUGACUACGAAUCAGGCGGUUGCAGGUUCGAAUCCUGCAGGGUGCA